ensembl:ncRNA lncRNA:CR45997 long non-coding RNA:CR45997
CGACGACGGCGACCGGCCAAUCCCUUCAGCCCGAUUUUCUCGGUUAGUGUCUUUUGUUUGGCCGCGAUCUUUUCAUUCGGCGACCUCCUUUUUCCGCGCCUUCUUAUUUACUUUUUGUUUUCUUUGCUACUGGUUACACACCCCGGUCGCAAAAGCCUUGAAACACGUUCUCGAAUGGGGAUCGGAACAAGGAACAGGCGCAAAAGGUGUAGCAGAAACGAGAAGUAAACCCGUUUCGACGCCGGUUCCCCAAUCUGAUUUACCUACACUACUUCACGCACGGAGCGGCGUGAACGCACUCGGAGAAACGGGCAGCGCGUUGUACUAACAGCAUCUACACUGCUAAAAAAAAAGAGUUUAGGAUUAUGAUUCCCAAAAAUUGUACUAAUAAAAAUGAAAAUUUGCAUUGC